CUUGGAUUUGUCAGCUGUGGUAGGGGCUGGAGCCAAAAAAAAAGGCAGGAGGGCCAACCUUGCUGAAAGAGGAACUGAGUCAGCCAGGUUGCACUUCCCUCCUGUUCCCUUGUUUGUGCAUGGCUCCCAGCGGCCACUGGAGGUCACUGUCACCACUGAAACUGCCCAGUGCUGUGCUGAUUGGGCCAGAAGCACAGGAACAGGUAAGGCCAGAGUGACAGCAGCCCCUGCCCUGGUGGCCAGGCCCAGAGCAGCCUUUCAACAGUGGGGGUGGGCGAGGGUUAUGAAAACCACAUGAGAGCACACAUUUGUUCAUUUGUUCACUCAGGAAAUAUUUCUCAGCUACCUUCUAGGUCCUGGGGGGACACGUCACGUAAAACUAGCUCGAGAAGACCAGCAAUAGCACAGCCUGACCACCCCUCAGGGGGAGGAGGACCCCCAAACCACUGCACUUCCCGGGGGCAGAAACCCCUUCAGCGGCAGAGGAAGCCAAAAGACAGCACUGUCCCUUCUCGGCCCCCGUCUAGGUCCCUGGAGUUUUCCUCCUAAGACCAGGGCUUCGGCUUCAUGGGGCCCCGUCUGCUGGCCGAGGAUGCACACAGAUGGAGGACACAGCCCCGUCGUGAAGGGCCAGCGGAGGCACAGCAUCCUGCCUGGAGGGUCCCCAGCCUCUGCGGGUGGGACAGACGCGGCCUGGCCUCCAAGUCACCAGCGCGGAGCCCUGGCCGUCGCCUGACUCUGCUUCCUGCGCUGCUGGGCUCCAAGGCGGGAGACCCAAGUGCGGCAGAGUGGCCUGGAGGAGGUUUUGGGGUGACCUCUGCUGUCUGGACUGUUCCGUGUCACCGCUGGUGGGGAACACAGAAUUAUAUAUGAAUGUAGAGUGGACCCUCAAGUAACAACCAGCCUGACGUACAUAUUGACCUACAACCAACCUGAGUUACAACCAGCCCUUGGGAACUGAUUGAGUUUGUAAAUCGGGAUAAGUUUGAAUGUCUUCACUGAACACAUCCUGGAUUGUGACUGUCGG
rnacentral:lncRNA from 1 species